GUAUAGGUUUUAGAGGCAUCGCUUUUUUACGACGAGCCCACUGAAGACAUUCUGAGACAUACAAAGGGGUAUAUAAUACAUAGACCUGAUACGCAGGGAGAGCCGUUGCCGGCAAACCCAAGCUAACCCGAGUCAUUGCUGACUGCGAGUGUACAACCUAACCACGAGUCAUUGCUGACUGUGAGGUGUACCAGAUCUACAAAAGGUGCACAGGUGGUUGAGAAAGAGUGAAGGGCGUGCACAUGCUCCGAAGAACCAGCAACAACCCAACGCUUAUUCAAUAAUGAUCCUUCCGCAGGUUCACCUACGGAAA
rnacentral:misc_RNA from 1 species